GCCGAACCGUGCGAACGUUGUUCGGAAUCACUGGGCUUAAAGGGUGCGUAGGCGGGUUGUCCAGUCUGGGGUGAAAUCCCACGGCUCAACCGUGGAACUGCCUCAGAUACUGACGACCUCGAGGGAGGUAGGGGCGAGCGGAACUGUGGGUGGAGCGGUGAAAUGCGUUGAUAUCCACAGGAACUCCGGUGGCGAAGGCGGCUCGCUGGACCUCUUCUGACGCUGAGGCACGAAAGCUAGGGGAGAAAACGGG
rnacentral:rRNA from 1 species